UCUGGUAAUGAUGGCAGAGAGGUCACACCCGUUCCCAUACCGAACACGGAAGUUAAGCUCUCUAGCGCCGAUGG
rnacentral:rRNA from 3 species